GAGUUUGAUCAUGGCUCAGAUUGAACGCUGGCGGUAGGCUUAACACAUGCAAGUCGUGCGAGAAAGUAUCUUCGGAUAUGAGUAGAGCGGCGGACGGGUGAGUAACGCGUAGGAAUCUACCUAGUAGAAGGGGAUAGCCCGGGGAAACCCGGAUUAAUACCGUAUACCUCCUCCGGGAGAAAGAAGGCCUCUCUUUGAAGCUUUCGCUAUUAGAUGAGCCUGCGUAAGAUUAGCUUGUUGGUGAGGUAAAGGCUCACCAAGGCGACGAUCUUUAGCUGGUCUGAGAGGACGAUCAGCCACAUUGGGACUGAGACACGGCCCAGACUCCUACGGGAGGCAGCAGUGGGGAAUAUUGGACAAUGGGCGCAAGCCUGAUCCAGCCAUACCGCGUGUGUGAAGAAGGCCUUCGGGUUGUAAAGCACUUUAAGCAGGGAGAAAAAGUUAUAAGUUAAUACCUUAUAACCUUGAUGUUACCUGCAGAAUAAGCACCGGCUAAUUCCGUGCCAGCAGCCGCGGUAAUACGGAAGGUGCAAGCGUUAAUCGGAAUUACUGGGCGUAAAGCGCGCGUAGGUGGUUUGUUAAGUUGGAUGUGAAAGCCCUGGGCUCAACCUAGGAACUGCAUCCAAAACUAACUCACUAGAGUACGAUAGAGGGAGGUAGAAUUCAUAGUGUAGCGGUGGAAUGCGUAGAUAUUAUGAAGAAUACCAGUGGCGAAGGCGGCCUCCUGGAUCUGUACUGACACUGAGGUGCGAAAGCGUGGGUAGCGAACAGGAUUAGAUACCCUGGUAGUCCACGCCGUAAACGAUGACAACUAGCUGUUGGAAGACAAAGUCUUUCAGUGGCGCAGCUAACGUUUUAAGUUGUCCGCCUGGGGAGUACGGCCGCAAGGCUAAAACUCAAAUGAAUUGACGGGACCCGCACAAGCGGUGGAGCAUGUGGUUUAAUUUCGAUGCAACGCGAAAAACCUUUACCUACUCUUGACAUACUUGGGAGCUCUUGUUAAUGGAGAGUGGNGCCC
rnacentral:rRNA from 1 species